AUUGAACGCUGGUGGCAGGCUUAACACAUGCAAGUCGAACGGUAACAGGAAUUAGCUUGCUAAUUUGCUGACGAGUGGCGGACGGGUGAGUAAUGCUUGGGAAUCUGUCUUAUGGAGGGGGAUAACUACGGGAAACUGUAGCUAAUACCGCGUAAAAUCUUCGGAUUAAAGGGUGGGACUUUCGAGCCACCUGCCAUAAGAUGAGCCCAAGUGUGAUUAGGUAGUUGGUUAGGUAAAGGCUGACCAAGCCGACGAUCUCUAGCUGUGCUGAGAGGAUGACCAGCCACACUGGAACUGAGACACGGUCCAGACUCCUACGGGAGGCAGCAGUGGGGAAUAUUGCACAAUGGGGGGAACCCUGAUGCAGCCAUGCCGCGUGAAUGAAGAAGGCCUUCGGGUUGUAAAGUUCUUUCGGUGACGAGGAAGGUUGAUAGGUUAAUAGCCUAUCAAAUUGACGUUAAUCACAGAAGAAGCACCGGCUAACUCCGUG
rnacentral:rRNA from 1 species